AAUGUGACAGUGACAGACUCAACUGUCUACAGCACCGGCUGUCUCCUUAAUUGAAAAGAGUGACACGCUUAAUGUUUGAUUUCUAGUAACGUAAAUUAACUUUAAUAUCGGUUUAACUCAGUUUUCAUUCUCUUCUAGUUCUAAAGAUUAGAAAAAGAUCGAAAGUUGAACUGAGAUUAAAGUUACAAUGGUAGAAAUAGUUAUAUAACCUUAUGGGGAGAUUAAAGGCGCAAAUUCACCGGUGAAAUACAUAGCGCGCGCGCGUGUGUUUAGGCAACACUUUACACAAUGAUGAAAUAUUCGAGUCAAGAAAUGACAGACAUGCAUCUAAUGUAUGGACUUGCUGAGGGCAAUGCGUCAGAAGCUAGACGUCUGUAUGCAGAAAGAUUUCCCAAUCGUGAUUUACCAGAUGCUAAGACUUUUCAAAGGAUACAUCAGCGCCUUCGGGAAACAGGAUCAUUUAAGAGGCAGUCUUCAGAAUUCAGCACGAAAAAUCUACUUUAAGCCCUUUUUAUAAAGAGUUCCACGUAAAAUGUGGAUAUUGUAAUGUAUUUUAUUGCAAUACAUAUAUGAAGUUUCUAUAUA